rnacentral:rRNA from 1 species
GAUGAACGCUGGCGGCGUGCCUAAUACAUGCAAGUCGAGCGAACAGACGAGGAGCUUGCUCCUCUGACGUUAGCGGCGGACGGGUGAGUAACACGUGGAUAACCUACCUAUAAGACUGGGAUAACUUCGGGAAACCGGAGCUAAUACCGGAUAAUAUAUUGAACCGCAUGGUUCAAUAGUGAAAGACGGUUUUGCUGUCACUUAUAGAUGGAUCCGCGCCGCAUUAGCUAGUUGGUAAGGUAACGGCUUACCAAGGCGACGAUGCGUAGCCGACCUGAGAGGGUGAUCGGCCACACUGGAACUGAGACACGGUCCAGACUCCUACGGGAGGCAGCAGUAGGGAAUCUUCCGCAAGGGGCGAAAGCCUGACGGAGCAACGCCGCGGGAGUGAUGAAGGUCUUCGGAUCGUAAAACUCUGUUAUUAGGGAAGAACAAAUGUGUAAGUAACUAUGCACGUCUUGACGGUACCUAAUCAGAAAGCCACGGCUAACUACGUG